rnacentral:lncRNA from 1 species
UUAGGUAGACUCGCCGUGCAGAACCUCGCUAUUCUGUGCUAGACAACCAAUGGGUGUACGUUAUCGGUGUAAGGACGUGGUUGAAUGUAGCCGAACUUAAGUGGUCCGAGGGGUCUGGCUAAGGGCGAGACUACAAGUCCCAGCAUACAACGCGGUCCUCCGUCGCGCCGCUCCCAGCAUGUAGUGCGUGGUUUCCUCCUGCUGACCCUGAGACUUACGACGAAUUGCGAAGAGGUAGAUAGUGCUGGAAGGCGUGCUAGGUACACCGCAAAGACUCCACAGCAAAUCCUGCACACAAAAUCGCGAAUGCUGCAGCCGAGACCCCACGCAAGCAAGCACCGCAGGAGACGUGGGCUGACAGCUGCGCCCCACGUGACCUCCCACCCGCGCCAGUCCGUCCCCUCGGUAUCAGGGCGUGGCCUCGCGGGGCGGCCGUACCUGGAUUGGCCGGGAGGCGGGACCGGUGGUGCGCGCGCGAAAGGAGAGGGGCUUGGGGGCGUGGCCCAGGGGGCCGGAGACGGCUGCGAUUGGCAGUGGGGCGCGCCGGGGGCGUGACCGCGGCAUUGGGUCCCGGGUGGGGCCGAGGCAGCGGGAGUCGCGGUUGCUCAGCGUGCACCUGAGACCCGACGCCCGGGGUCCUCGAAGACGCGUCCGCCGCCGUGCCCGUCGCCAUGAACCGCUUCAGGGUGUCCAAGUUCCGGCACACCGAGGCUCGGCCGCCCCGCCGCG